rnacentral:rRNA from 1 species
AUUGAACGCUGGCGGCAUGCCUAACACAUGCAAGUCGAGCGGACGAAGGGAGCUUGCUCCUGGAUUCAGCGGCGGACGGGUGAGUAAUGCCUAGGAAUCUGCCUGGUAGUUGGGGAUAACGUCCGGAAACGGGCGCUAAUACCGCAUACGUCCUGAGGUAGAAAGUGGGGGAUCUUCGGACCACACGCUAUUAGAUGACACUAAGACGGAUUAGCUAGUUGGUGGGGUAAAGGCCUACCAAGGCGACGAUCCGUAACUGGUCUGAGAGGGUGAUCAGUCACACUGGAACUGAGACACGGUCCAGACUCCUACGGGAGGCAGCAGUAGGGAAUAUUGGACAAUGGGCGAAAGCCUGAUCCAGCAAUGCCGCGUGUGUGAAGAAGGUCUUCGGAUUGUAAAACACUUUAAGUUGGGAGGAAGGGCAGUAAGUUAAUACCUUGCUGUUUUGACGUUACCAACAGAAUAAGCACCGGCUAACUUCGUG